GCUACGCGUCGCUCAAGAGCGUGAACAAGUGUCGACAAUGUUCAUACGCUUUCGGCGCGUUUGUCUUGCGGAGCGGGGAGCGAUCGAAAUGGCUGAUGUGUUCGUCAAGAAAAAACUAGAAGAUUGGAGUUUUCAUCGAACUUUGAAACGAACCUUUCGAGAGAUAUGGUAUCUCCAACAUUAUCACAUUGCUGAAGGUUGUAAAGGCCAAAAAUAACAAAGAUAUUUAUUUAAUAUUUGAUUUUAUGGGUAUAUGAAUUACAUUUUCGCAAAGAAGACAUUCUUCAUGAAGCAGAAUUCUUCGAUGAAAAGUCGAUGAGACUUCUAAAGAGUGAAAUAUUUGGUAUGUCCCACAGUGACUCAAAUGCUGCAUCCAGUGCUUUCACAUUUAUGAUCCAAAGUUUAUUGUCUCCGUACAAAGAUGUGGCACAUAUUUUGCCAGUGCGUAGCAUAGAUGCUGACGAUUUCCAUUCAUAUAUAAAAAAAAUCUUGAUUGGUUUAGCUGCCAUAGGGUUUAAUGUCAUAUCAGUAGCCACUGACAAUAAUGCUAUUAAUAAAAAGGCCGUUAAUAUGUUUGCCUCUCCCCUUGAGUCGCGGGUUAGGUAUGAUUAUCCUGGAAGUCCAGGAAAAUAUUUCUAUUUUUCUUUUGAUUCCGUUCAUUUGAUUCCGUUCAUAUUUUUACAGACUACAUUCAGAUUCUUUGCAAGUGGUGGUCAAUAAUGAAUGUGAAAACUUUGUAUAAGGGUGAGCAUAAAAGGGAUGAGUUCCAAACGCCUCUCACACCAAAUACUGACACAGCUCAGUAUAAGUUCUUAACUAACUUUAUUAAUUGGUUAGACAAAUGGGAGGAAAUGAAUUGUACAACUGGUGGAUUAACAAAGCAAACCCAUCUAGCCAUAAGCCAUACUACAAAAGCUAUGCUUGCUCUUGCCGAGUACUGUUUUAAAACUUUAAAUUUCGAUUAUUUUUUACCAGGGAAAAUACAGACUCAUUAGAAGACAGAUUUGGGUCUUACCGUACAUUGGCAGGGUCAAAUUACAAUGUCAGUAUACGUCAAAUUUAUGACACUGAAACAAAAUUGAGAAUGCAAACAAUUUUACCCCUUGUGUUAAAAUUGAAAAGUUGUGGAGAAUUGUUACUAAGUUUUUUUCAGGACAAACAUUGGGAUGAAGAUGAAGAUAGCUCAGAUUCAUAUCCUUUUUUUAAUGGUUUUCUAAUCACUCCGGAAGAAAUGGUAAGUACUCAAUCGAGUUUGCCAAUUUUAACAUACAUUAGUGGAUAUGCAGCUCAUAAAGUUCUAUUGAAACUAAAGUGUGAACAAUGUCGAUCAACUUUAUGCAUUGAUAAGCCCCUUGACACAGAUGUAAACAAUGAUUGGAUAUCAAAAUUAGACAGCGGAGGGUUGAAAUACCCACAUCCCGAAGUUGUUUGUGUUUCUCAAUUCACAUAUGUAGUUGUAAACAAAUUGUUGUCAACACAUUUUGAAUCAAAUUUUAUCAGUUGUCAAAAUCACAGAAAGGUUGUAAAAUAUUUAACUCUUGAUGUACUGGAUGAAAAUGAUAUUUCUCUAGGUAUCGAUGAAUGUGAGAGUCAUGAUUCUCUGUUUCUUGUAAAACAAAUUGUAUGGGUUUUCAUUAAUAUAUUUUUGAACAACUUUUGCAAAAAACAAAAUGAUUCUCUUCAAAAAAUGAAAAAAGAUCAAAAAGAAAAAAAUACACUGAAAAAAUUUAAGAAAGAUGCACGUAAAUUGUCCACACUAAAUAAAUAAGCAAUUUUAUAUUGUUUCUAUGAGUUAUCUUUUAAAAUGUAAAAGUUUGACUGAAUUAUCCUAAACUAUUUUUAAAUUACAACCUAGGGAAUAGGUGGAAACACUAUGAUGUACCUUGCCGAUUAUUGUCAAGGUUGCCACGCCACAGGGAAACCUGAAGAAACAGGGAAAACAUAGGGAAUUCAAAUAUAUGUAUAUAUAUAUAUAUAUAAAGAACUGACCAUCCAGCGAAUUUCAAAAAUUUCCUCAAAAACCUGGAAAAUACAGGGAAUUUUUUUCUUCUUAAAUUGAAGUUGCGAAAAUCAAUUUCCUAAUAUAUAAACCGCCAAAAAACAAAUAAAUUACUAGUAAUAAUUAUAAUGAUAAUAUUAAUAAAGUAAAAUAAAAAAUGGCAAUUUUGCUUAAGUUUUUAUUUUCAAGUUAAAUAUUAAAAUAUUCAUCAUAAAAAUAGAUUCUUGAAUUUCAUGAUAAUUUUGAGUGUAUGAAAUUAGUCGUCAAUAAUCUUUAUUCUGGGUCAC